GACGAACGCUGGCGGCGUGCUUAACACAUGCAAGUCGAGCGGUAAGGCCCUUUCGGGGUACGACGAGCGGCGAACGGGUGAGUAACACGUGGGUGACCUGCCCUUAGCUCUGGGAUAAGCCUGGGAAACUGGGUCUAAUACCGGAUAUGACCUCAUGACUCAUGUUGUGGGGUGGAAAGCCUUGUGCGGCUAGGGAUGGGCCCGCGGCCUAUCAGCUUGUUGGUGGGGUAAUUGCCUACCAAGGCGACGACGGGUAGCCGGCCUGAGAGGGCGACCGGCCACACUGGGACUGAGACACGGCCCAGACUCCUACGGGAGGCAGCAGUGGGGAAUCUUGCGCAAUGGGCGAAAGCCUGACGCAGCGACGCCGCGUGAGGGAUGACGGCCU
rnacentral:rRNA from 1 species